AUUGAACGCUGGCGGCAUGCUUUACACAUGCAAGUCGAACGGUAACAGGGUGCUUGCACCGCUGACGAGUGGCGAACGGGUGAGUAAUGCGUCGGAACGUGCCGAGUAGUGGGGGAUAACGCAUCGAAAGGUGUGCUAAUACCGCAUACGUACUGAGGUAGAAAGUGGGGGACCUUCGGGCCUCACGCUAUUCGAGCGGCCGACGUCUGAUUAGCUAGUUGGUGAGGUAAAGGCUCACCAAGGCGACGAUCAGUAGCGGGUCUGAGAGGAUGAUCCGCCACACUGGGACUGAGACACGGACCAGACUCCCACGGGAGGCAGCAGUGGGGAAUUUUGGACAAUGGGCGCAAGCCUGAUCCAGCCAUGCCGCGUGUCUGAAGAAGGCCUUCGGGUUGUAAAGGACUUUUGUCCGGGAGCAAAUGCCUGGUGUUAAUAGCACUGGGAGCUGAGAGUACCGGAAGAAUAAGCACCGGCUAACUACGUGCCAGCCGCCGCGGUAAGAC
rnacentral:rRNA from 1 species